CUGGUGCAGGUGGAAGGAAAGGGGACCCCACAGGGAAGGUAGAAGGGCCAGGGCUUUCCCCAGCAGUGGCCAGAUCUGAACAGAGAUGACUCUGUGUUGCUGUGGCCACUCCAGACCCCAGACCGCAGCCUGAUAUCCAAGCUCCCGAGGGAGCAGAAUGCAUCAGCCACCUCAGAGAGGAGGCGCAGCCCAGUCAGGGCCCCACGUUGUCACGGCUCCAGCUGUCCUCAGGAGGGAAACUGUCUUGCAAGCCUGGAGACUUCUGGUUGCUUCUCGGAGGAAAGCCCUGUCACCUCCUCACCACCGUCCCAUAAGACGGGACCCUGCGAGGCAGACGCAGCCUGCACACAGAGGAGGGAGGGGAGGCUGCUGGGGCUCCGGCCUGUGCUUUCGCCUCCAGACCAUGGAGCUUCUUCACCCACAUGCUGGGUGCCGUCCAGCCUGAGGCCUGUGUGCAGGGUCCCGGUUUCAAGCCCCGAUUCCCACCUGCUAACUGUGACCCAGGAAGCCCCACCCCCCGCAGCCCUCAGUUUCUUCACCUGCCAAACUCCCUGCCUUCGAGGUGAGAGAUUACGUAAGUAAGGUAAAGCUUAUUCUUCGAUACCGUUCUCUUACUCUGUCAAUGCUUUGAGCAGGGUUCCCUGGAGAAACUGGCCCCAAAGCGUGGGCCCAGACACUGGUCUUGAUGGGCUGGCUGAGGCGGGAGCUCCGUCUCAUGGGAGUGGAUGGGAGUGGCAGGCAGGUGGGUGGCACCUUCUGUGGAGCGGGGGCCAGUCGGCAGCUUAAACGAGGGCAGAGAGAGCUGUCUAGGGAGGUCCAAUGGGGCUUCACUUUUCUCAGGAAUCUCAGGGUCUCCAAGCCCCCACUCUAGGGUGGCAUGAGUUUGGGGGGUUCCUAAAGGAAGUCCCCUGUGUCUGGGUGUGCCUGGGUGGCAGUGUAGGGGCAGGUGUGGUGCCCACAUUGUCCAUAUGUCCUCACCCGCCCCAGGCCCCAGGCCCUCUGCCUCAGGGUGGGGCCGCAGCUCAGCUUUGAUGCCCCUGAGGGCCUGCCUGCCGGAACUGCUGUUUCAGGCAGGAGGUGGGAGGACGCAAUGCAGGCGGGGUUGCCCAACCAAAACACCCUCAGCCCAAUUCCUCCCACAGGCCUCCUGGAACCCGCAUUUCUUCAGUGGAGUCACAGCUUUUUGGGCUAUGGCUCCUCUUUUCAGUUCUUUUUCUUUAUAACACAAAGACACCAUGAGAGAGGCCGUACUUCACAAUCCCCAAGUGUUAGAAGGCAGAGGGUCUUCCAGACAGCCACCACCAGGCCUGUGCUUUACAGAGGAGGAAGCUGAAAGGACUGGUCCAAGACCACACAGCGGGGAGCAGGUGGCAGCACGGACGCUCGAAGCUUGGUCUCUCGCUGUGGAGUUUUCUCUCGCCUGUCUCUACCGCUAUCAUCCUAAUACUGAAGCAUCAGGUCCUUUUUCAAGACACCACCAGCUACAAGCAGAGGGCAAGCCUGGGGCUGAGAAGCACUGUGGGGAGGAGGGGUGGAGCUGGGAGAGGGUCACGGGAGUCAGGGGCCAGGGAAAGCUGCCAAGCAGAGACAGCCUCUCCUGCCCCUUUCCCAGGGCUGACUCAGCACCUUACGCGUGAGGAUUUGUCAUCAACAACUGACCCCAAAAGCCAUGGUGCCCUGGGGUUGGUGUCCCAGUGAUGCUUUUCUGACUCGUGGCCCAGGAUGACACAAAGCCCCAAGGGACAAGCCAGAGAUCCCACUGGCCCAGCCAGAUGCUCCAAGAUUCCUUUUGCCUGUAACCCAGAACUGGCCCACCCUCUUGCCUGGUUACUGGGGCUUUCACGAAAGAGCAAUGGACAGUGGGAAGGGCUCGCUGUGAGGCAGGAUCAGUCCUGGGGCCCUGGGAGUGUCUCUUCCCUUCCCCGAGCCUCAGUGUUCUUGUCUGUACAAUGGAAGUUCAGGUCAGAUGGUCUCUGGAUUCCUUCCCAGCUCUGAGAACCAGGUUCUACCUCAGCUGUUCUCAGAAAGGACAGGGUGGUCCGGGCUGGGCAUGGGCUUGAGGCUUGUGCCCCUCUCCUAGCCCCAAGGACUUCCCAUCCUUUCAGGUCCCGCUGGGGCUCAGCUGCCCAACUCUGAUCAGAAAGAAGAGCUGUAAGUCUGGCUGGGCGGUGGCUCAUGCCUCUAAUCCCAGCACUUUGGGAGGCCAAAGAGGAUGGACUGCUUGAGCCCAGGAGUUCGGGACCAGCCUGGGUAAUGUGGCGAAACCCUGUCUCUACAAAAAAUACAAAAAUUAGCCAGAUGUGGUGAUGUGCGGCUGUAGUCCCAGCUACUCAGGAGGCUGAGGUGGGAGGAUCACUUGAGGCCAGGAGGUCAAGGCUGCCAUGAGCUAAGAUCACAACACUGCAUUCCGGCCUGGGUAACAGAGCAAGACCAUGUCUCUAAGAGAGGGGGGAAAAAAAGCCAUGGGUGUCUAAGCUGCAAGGCCCCCCAAAUCCCUGAAUCCCACUAACCAUCUCCCAAGUGAGUAGAGGGAGGCCAAGAGAGGGCAAGCAGCUGUCUCAUGUCUUCCCUGAAGGAACCCUCUCAUGGGACAGCUGGACACAGCCAGGCGGGAAGGACUCUUCACCAGCCCCGUCUCCAUAGUCCCGGCUGCCAUCACUGCUGGCAUCGACACUGACCCUCCAGCUCCAGCACCAGGUCACCACCCUGCCCCUCAUCCAUCCUCCUCCUCCACGCGUGAUGAAUGAGCUUUUCUCAUUCAAUCAUUCUCAGGGGCAGCAUAGCGUGGCCAGUAGGAAGGAGGAUGCGGGAGCCAGCCUGCCUGGCUCCACCACCCACCAGCUGCUUUUAUUCCCUGCCUGCUCUAGUUCCCUGGCUGUAAAAUGGGGAUACAAAUAAUAUCUUCCUCAUCAGGUCACUGGGAGGCUUAAAUAAGCCCAUACUGUAAAGUGCUUAGAACAGGGCCUGCCACGUAGUAAGUACUCCAUAAUUGCUAUCAUUCAUCCAUUCAUUCAUUCAUUCAUUCAUUCGUGAAUUCUAUCCUGCCUGUUUCUGAAAGAGUUGAGAUGACUCACAGUGGAAAUGCAAUGAUAACAGGCCUUUAAAUUCAGAUUAAAAGAACACAAGCCUAGGCUGCAGAGGAGAGAGUGUCCCAGAAUCUGAGCCAAGCAAGCCUCACCUGAAUACAACCUCCCGGCGUCUCAUCCAAAACAUAAAGGUUGCUGGUAUCAAUUCUCCUUUUCUGAUGAAAGGAAGCAUAACAGCUUUCCAGCGGAAUAGAAGAUUUUUUUUUGGUUCAAACUUUAUGAAUGACAUUAAACAAUGCAAUGAGUAGCCUCCCCCUCACCUCACCCUGUCCGCCUUUUUAAUCAACUCCUGAGAAAUGGGGUCUGCUCUUCUUCCCAUCCCACUCCCCAUCUCCAGACCCUGCGGAAGCCUGUGGUCCUGGAGAGCCUGAGAGCCCUCAGAGCGAUACCUUCAGCUAUCCCAGGAGAAGGACACUCUUCGCUUUCAGCACCAGGGGAAAACUAGGAAAAAGCCAAGCCACUGAGUCAAUGAGGGCCUUCCCUCAGCUGCAGACAGCAAGCCCCUUCCAGGCGCUUCCCCGCAGCUACGGCAGCAAGUGCCCCAGGGGCAGGGCCGGGAAUGCUCACUGAGAAAUCCCAGAGCUGCCUGCACUUCCUCUCACCGGCUUCCCCUUCUCUCAGCAGCCACAGGCACGGGAAAGGCCUUAUCACCGCUCACCUGACUGUGGCCACAGUCUCCUCCCUGUCAGCGUCUCCCCGCCCAAUCAACGCUUCACACCUUUGCAGCUGCUGAUUCCCGGAGGACCACUUACACCAAGCACUGUGAGCUGAUCGAUGGCAGAGUCUCUCCAGCUCAUGAGUCUUCAGUGACUCCCCAUUGUCCAUGGAAAACAGAAGACACCUGAGGCCUUGCACAGUGGACCUUAUUCUCAUCCCUCCCUCAGGAGAAUCCUCUGCCUCGAGCCGAAGGCCGUGGGCUCUGCAGACUCCAGGCCUCUCCUUCCCAGGGCGGUCUUCCCUUUCCCUAUGCUCAAGGCACAGCCCAAGUCCCACCUCCUCCAUUGCAAGGGACACCACCCUCUGAAUUCCUGUUGGGGAAAGAGCCUAGUUUUGCAGCCAGAUAGGCCCGAGUUAGAGUCUCAGCUCAGUUCCAAUCCCAUUAGCUGGUUGCAAGUCAUUAACUUUGUCAACCUUCAGUAAAUGGAAAUCAGGCCCACACUGUAGGUGCCUGGGGGUGCUGAUGGUUGAGUGGAAUCUGUUCUUUUGACCUUCCCAGCAUCUUUCCCCUUCCCAGCAUCCUUUCCCCUUUCUUUUGGUGAUGUCGCCUGGAUUUUCUGUUGGGUAUGUGGUCCAGGGGUGGCUGACCUCACUUCCUGGUUCCAGCAUAAGAUCAUGACUGAGAGCUGGCCAAUGAGAAUAUUCCCUCGCCCCAGCCACAGAGUCAGAUUCCCGGGGAUGAACUUGUGAGUCAAAACAGGCUGGUGGGAACACACUUGGGGUGUUAGCUGGAGUUAUUGAAGCUUUCUUUCCCACUGGAGUCACUAGGUAGAUAGAAGGAAAGCUGAAGCCUUUAGCCACUGCUGUGGGUUGAAGUGUGUACCCCAAAAAGAUAUGUUCAAAUUCUAAUCCCCUGCACCUUUGGAGGUGGCCUUGUUUGGAAAAAGGGUCUUUGCAGAUGUAGGCAAGUGAAGAUGAAGCCAUCCUGGAUCAGGGUGGCUUGUGGCUUGUGUCCAAUGCCUUGUGUCCUUCUAAGAAGAGAGAAAUCGAGACACAGACACACACAGGGAAAAGGCCGAGUGAUGACAGCAGCAGAGAUGGGAGCGCGGCAGCUACAAGCUGAGGGAUGCCAAGCAUGGCUGGCACCACCCAGGAGCCUGGAGAGAGGGAGGGGACAGCCUCCUCCUUAGAGCCUCGAAACACCCUACCCACAUCCUGGCUUCAGACUUCCAGCCUGCACAACUGGGAGAGAAUCACUUUCUGCUGUGUUAAGCUACACUAGUUCAUGGUGAUUUGUUACAGCAGCUGCAGGAAAUGAACACAGACACCAAAUGGAGAUACUGUGUCUGAGAUUGAAGCCAGCACCGUGGAAUCAGAGCUGCCAGGAGGGAGACGUGGACUCUCGACCCUGUGGCCACACUUGGUUCCCCCAGCAGCUGAAGCACGAAGUCUACUGGACUUACUAGACUUUCCAGUUACCUGGACCAAUAUAUUCUCUGUUUUACUUAAGCUGUUUCGAUUGGAUUUCUGGCUAUUUCAACUGAGAGAGGCCUAACUCUCAGUUAUACAGAGACAAUGGAUGUAAAAUGCAUUGAAGGCCAGGCACAGUGGCUCGCGCCUGUAAUCCCAACACUUUGGAAAGCCAAGGCAGGAGGAUGGCUUGAGCCCAGGAGUACGAGACCAGCCUGGGAGACGUGGCAAAACGAAACCCCGUUUCUACAAAAAAAUACAUUAAACCAUUUUAAAAAGAAAA